rnacentral:rRNA from 1 species
GGGUUGUGAGGUUAAGCGACUAAGCGUACACGGUGGAUGCCCUGGCAGUCAGAGGCGAUGAAGGGCGUGCUAAUCUGCGAUAAGCGCCGGUAAGGUGAUAUGAACCGUUAUAACCGGCGAUACCCGAAUGGGGAAACCCAGUGUGACUCGUCACACUAUCAUUAACUGAAUCCAUAGGUUAAUGAGGCGAACCGGGGGAACUGAAACAUCUAAGUACCCCGAGGAAAAGAAAUCAACCGAGAUUCCCCCAGUAGCGGCGAGCGAACGGGGAGGAGCCCAGAGCCUGAAUCAGCAUGUGUGUUAGUGGAAGCGUCUGGAAAGGCGCGCGAUACAGGGUGACAGCCCCGUACACAAAAGCGCAUGUGCUGUGAGCUCGAUGAGUAGGGCGGGACACGUGGUAUCCUGUCUGAAUAUGGGGGGACCAUCCUCCAAGGCUAAAUACUCCUGACUGACCGAUAGUGAACCAGUACCGUGAGGGAAAGGCGAAAAGAACCCCGGCGAGGGGAGUGAAAAAGAACCUGAAACCGUGUACGUACAAGCAGUGGGAGCACCCUUUGGGUGUGACUGCGUACCUUUUGUAUAAUGGGUCAGCGACUUAUAUUCUGUAGCAAGGUUAACCGAAUAGGGGAGCCGGAGGGAAACCGAGUCUUAAUUGGGCGUUAAGUUGCAGGGUAUAGACCCGAAACCCGGUGAUCUAGCCAUGGGCAGGUUGAAGGUUGGGUAACACUAACUGGAGGACCGAACCGACUAAUGUUGAAAAAUUAGCGGAUGACCUGUGGCUGGGGGUGAAAGGCCAAUCAAACCGGGAGAUAGCUGGUUCUCCCCGAAAGCUAUUUAGGUAGCGCCUCGUGAAUUCAUCUCCGGGGGUAGAGCACUGUUUCGGCUAGGGGGCCAUCCCGGCUUACCAACCCGAUGCAAACUGCGAAUACCGGAGAAUGUUAUCACGGGAGACACACGGCGGGUGCUAACGUCCGUCGUGAAGAGGGAAACAACCCAGACCGCCAGCUAAGGUCCCAAAGUCAUGGUUAAGUGGGAAACGAUGUGGGAAGGCCCAGACAGCCAGGAUGUUGGCUUAGAAGCAGCCAUCAUUUAAAGAAAGCGUAAUAGCUCACUGGUCGAGUCGGCCUGCGCGGAAGAUGUAACGGGGCUAAACCAUGCACCGAAGCUGCGGCAGCGACACUGUGUGUUGUUGGGUAGGGGAGCGUUCUGUAAGCCUGUGAAGGUGUGUCGUGAGGCAUGCUGGAGGUAUCAGAAGUGCGAAUGCUGACAUAAGUAACGAUAAAGCGGGUGAAAAGCCCGCUCGCCGGAAGACCAAGGGUUCCUGUCCAACGUUAAUCGGGGCAGGGUGAGUCGACCCCUAAGGCGAGGCCGAAAGGCGUAGUCGAUGGGAAACGGGUUAAUAUUCCCGUACUUGGUGUUACUGCGAAGGGGGGACGGAGAAGGCUAUGUUGGCCGGGCGACGGUU